GAGAAGUAGCCGAGACUGCAGAAGGCAUCCAGAUGGCAGUGUGGUGGCUGGCACGGUGCCCACUGCCAAGGAUGCAAGCACACUUGCACGCACGCACACGUACACACACAAAACCGGAAAGGGUGAUCGAGGAAUAAAAUGAAAAGCAGGGAGAGAAGGGGCCCUGGAAGCCAGGGCUGGGGGGCUGGGGGCGGGGAAGACUCUAGAUCUAUUUGAAUCCACUCCGGAAGUAGAAGAGUAGGGAAAAAAGAAACAACCACGGGCGCAGACAGAAGAGAGCUCUCCCGGGUGAAGGCGAGUGAAAGAAGGUGGCCGAGCCAGGAGGAGAGAGAGAGCCCAGAUGGCUUGGUGUGGUGUGGUGUGCUCCAUCGGCUGCCAACCUAGGGCCAUCGCCUGCCUCCAUCACCCCUUCGCCUGCCCGCCUACCACCCAAUCCCAAAUGGGCACUGGAUCAGGUGCCGAAUCUGGCUGCCUCCUCGGGUACCAGUCACUGCGUUGCUGUGUGUCUGCCACCGCUGCCUGGCACUCAUGGGGCCGUGUGUGUAUGUGUGUGUGCGCGCGCAUGUACAUGUACGCAUACGCGUGUGUUGUAUGUGAGCCUCCUGGGCAUGGGUGGGGGUUGACAUUGCGGUUGCCACUGUAGCAUCCAACUAGAAGGACAGAAGGAUGGAGCGGAAGAAGGAGGGGAGAGGUGUGGGGCCUUGGAGGGGAGAAGAGCGUGCAUGAUUGCAGGCAUUGGCAUCGCAGCUGCCACCCUUGUGCCCAUGGAGAUGGGAGGGAUGGAUGGAGGGGGCAGCGACAGGAGUCCUUGUGCUCUGGGAGGAAGGUGCGGCGCACAAGAGCUGUUGGCAUCACAACUGUUGGGCUUAUGCCCAGAUCUGGGGUUAUGGGGACUAGAGGGACAAGGAGGUAAAGAGGGGGUGUGCUGCUGAUGCCGCUGUCCCUCUAGGAUGAGCUCUAAGAAGUGUCUGAACUAUGAAGGAGUCAUCUCUGCUCCAGUCUAGGAAGCGAAGUGAAGAGAGUAGAUGGGGAAGAGCCAACAAAGAAUGGAAGAGGUAGGAGGAGGGACUGUGCCACUACUACCCAGGGAGAACCUGUUUGGGCUAGCAGUGUGGCCUUUUCAGAGAACCCUGAAGACAACAGCAGGGGA